rnacentral:rRNA from 1 species
ACGCUGGCGGUAUGCUUAACACAUGCAAGUCGAACGGAAACGAUACUAGCUUGCUAGUAGGCGUCGAGUGGCGGACGGGUGAGUAACGCGUAGGAAUCUGCCUGAUAGUGGGGGAUAGCCCGAAGAAAUUCGGAUUAAUACCGCAUAAUCUAUUCGUAGUAAAGUGGGGGACUUUCGAGCCUCACGCUAUCAGAUGAGCCUGCGUAAGAUUAGCUAGUUGGUAGGGUAAAAGCCUACCAAGGCGACGAUCUUUAGCUGGUCUGAGAGGAUGAUCAGCCACAUCGGGACUGAGACACGGCCCGAACUCCUACGGGAGGCAGCAGUGGGGAAUAUUGGACAAUGGGGGCAACCCUGAUCCAGCAAUACCGCGUGUGUGAAGAAGGCCUGAGGGUUGUAAAGCACUUUCAAUUGUGAAGAAAAGCUAGUGGUUAAUAGCCAUUAGCCUUGACGUUAACUUUAGAAGAAGCACCGGCUAACUCCGUGCCAGCAGCCGCGGUAAUACGGAGGGUGCAAGCGUUAAUCGGAAUUACUGGGCGUAAAGCGUGCGUAGGCGGUUUAUUAAGUCAGAUGUGAAAGCCCCGGGCUUAACCUGGGAACUGCAUUUGAAACUGGUCAACUAGAGUAUGGUAGAGGAAAGUGGAAUUUCUGGUGUAGCGGUGAAAUGCGUAGAUAUCAGAAAGGAACAUCAAUGGCGAAGGCAACUUUCUGGACCAAUACUGACGCUGAGGUACGAAAGCGUGGGUAGCAAACAGGAUUAGAUACCCUGGUAGUCCACGCCGUAAACGAUGAUAACUAGCCGUUGGGGGGGAUUUACCCCUUAGUGGCGAAGCUAACGCGUUAAGUUAUCCGCCUGGGGAGUACGGCCGCAAGGUUAAAACUCAAAGGAAUUGACGGGGACCCGCACAAGCGGUGGAGCAUGUGGUUUAAUUCGAUGCAACGCGAAGAACCUUACCUGGUCUUGACAUCCUGCGAACUUUCUAGAAAUAGAUUGGUGCCUUCGGGAACGCAGUGACAGGUGCUGCAUGGCUGUCGUCAGCUCGUGUCGUGAGAUGUUGGGUUAAGUCCCGUAACGAGCGCAACCCCUAUCCUUAUUUGCCAGCACAUCAUGGUGGGAACUAUAAGGAGACUGCCGGUGAUAAACCGGAGGAAGGCGGGGACGACGUCAAGUCAUCAUGGCCCUUACGACCAGGGCUACACACGUGCUACAAUGGGAAGGACAAAGAGCCGCGAAGCCGCGAGGUGUAGCUAAUCUCAGAAACCUUUUCGUAGUCCGGAUUGGAGUCUGCAACUCGACUCCAUGAAGUCGGAAUCGCUAGUAAUCGUAGAUCAGAAUGCUACGGUGAAUACGUUCCCGGGUCUUGUACACACCGC